ensembl:lncRNA
GAUAAAGUUCACAUAAUUGAAACACUCAACAGAUUAAAAACUAGAUUGGAACGUUCACUGGAAUGGGAACCAUCCUCCUCCCACUCGCACAGGGAUGCGAUAUGCAGAGCAAGAAGAUGAGAGGAUGUGGGGCACCAGGGAGGCUGGCAUGCACAGCCCCUGACUGGAGAGACCUCCUCCCACCCCACGGCUGGGACCACCAGCCCACCUCUGAGGGCCUCCCAUCCUGCCAUGAGAGACGGAUGCCUUGGCAGUGAGUGUUUGAAUGCUGAAAGUCUGAAUAAGCCACAGAGGGAGCCAAAUUCCCUUAACUAAUGUAAAUGACUUUACCAGAUCCUUUCCAGUUUAGUACCAACUGAGAAUAUUUUCCCAGAAGAAGCCAAACAAUUGGAAGAAUUGCAGUGGAGCAGAGAAAAGGACGAGCCCCAGUGGAACUCAAAGUGGGGCUGAUGAGCCUGGGGCCCUGGGGCGUCAGAGAGGGCCUGGAGUCCAAAGAACCUUCUUUACCGCUGACCCAGAGACCAGUGCUGGAGAGCUCCAGUGGGCAACACCACCCUUCACUGAACGCUUCGGCUUUUGAGUGUCUGUACAUCCAGGAAUCAAACCAGAAAUUCUUGGCAAAUUCAGCGUCCCUCCAGCCCCUCCACCCCUAAAUCUCCCCUACCGCACACCUUCCGCCAUGAGAACAGUCCUUUUCCAGGUCCCUAAACAUCAAAGAACCCUGUUGAGGGCAUGGAUCAUCCCCUGUCUCCGUCCAGCUGUGGAUAAACAUGUGCUGAUCACUGGAGGGACUAGGAGAAACGUACGCCUCACCAGGCACACCCAUCAGAGCUACGCGAGCUGUUUCGAGCUCUGGUGUUCACCACAAGGGCUAGCGCUGGUCAACGGUGUGCUGCUAACGAGAAACAGAGCAGAGCCGUGAGCAAAUUCUUCCUGGCUGAAAGAAGGGAACACGUUCGUAAGCUGGAGACCCAGACCUGUGAGGGGUGCAACUUCCUGUUUCCCUGGCGAAUGCUUCAGAAAACACUCAGCUGGGAAUGUUAAAAUUUCCAUUCAUCGCCGCCCUCCAAGGCUCGUGGAAGGAUGGAUGGGCUGAUCACACAGCGGUCGAACUAGCCUGGAACCAGCCUGAAUGAGCUGCGGGACGAUGACAGUUUCUAGCAGGAGCCUGAAAGUAUGUGUGGGUCUGGUCCCUGAGGGUGCCUGCCCAAGGGGAAGAAGCAGCGACAAGGCAGAGUUUGUCUACAUGAAAUCCCUCUCCUCUGACAUAAGAUUUAACAUCGUGGCAAGGCCCCCAGCAGACAAUGCUAACAUGCUGCUGGGCUAGCUCUUGGAAGCUUGGGCACACUAACUGGAGUAGAGAUGCUAGAACUUUCUGGGUCAAAUGGUGGAGAUAGGAAUCAAAAUGUCCAGAAAAGUGGGCGUACUAGAGUAGAUAUAUUACAUAAGGUCAGAAAGCCUACUAGCCAGCUAUGUUGCAUGGGCAGCAGGGAGGAGGGGAAGGAACUCCAGGGGGAGAGGGGCCUUGUGGGUCUAGCCGAUGUCACUUGGCAGUACAAUGGGGGAGGCAGGAGAGGGAGAGCUGCAAAGGACAGCAAGUCUGGGGGCUUUGACAGCCCCUGGCUUAUCUAUGCAGAUGUCGGGUGUAUUCUGGUAGGGGAUACAAAGCAGGCAGCUCCAAUGGCUAAAAUUUUUUGAGCUACGUUUAAUACAACUGGAUGUGUAAAAAUCUGAGUUUGACACCAGUGGGCUUUUGAGCUAAUCAGUCUCAGCCUGCUGUGAAGAAGAAUAAUGGAGGGACUCCCAUACAGAGACCAUCUUUGGCUCAUUUAUGUAACAAUUCUGCAGAGCAUCACAUUGUUCUUUGAGCGGGGCCAAGAGCAAAUCAGGACUCCAUAAUACAUUCAGGCUGCAGUGCAAGCAGUCUUUCCACAUGGGCUCCAUGACGUCAAAGACCCUAUGGCUUUAGUGGUAUCCGUGGUAGGAAAGACAUCAG